rnacentral:rRNA from 1 species
UACACUCCUACGGGAGGCAGCAGUGGGGAAUAUUGGACAAUGGGCGCAAGCCUGAUCCAGCCAUGCCGCGUGAGUGAUGAAGGCCCUAGGGUUGUAAAGCUCUUUCACCGGUGAAGAUAAUGACGGUAACCGGAGAAGAAGCCCCGGCUAACUUCGUGCCAGCAGCCGCGGUAAUACGAAGGGGGCUAGCGUUGUUCGGAUUUACUGGGCGUAAAGCGCACGUAGGCGGACUAUUAAGUCAGGGGUGAAAUCCCGGGGCUCAACCCCGGAACUGCCUUUGAUACUGGUAGUCUUGAGUUCGAGAGAGGUGAGUGGAAUUCCGAGUGUAGAGGUGAAAUUCGUAGAUAUUCGGAGGAACACCAGUGGCGAAGGCGGCUCACUGGCUCGAUACUGACGCUGAGGUGCGAAAGCGUGGGGAGCAAACAGGAUUAGAUACCCCUGUAGUCCCAUGA